GAGGACUGAAAGGAGUGGUUGCAUCAGGUCUCCCCCACCCUUCUGCCUCCUGCGGUUGCGGCUUUAUUGUGGCCUCUGCUCCCCUGACACCUGCAUUUCACUUAGCGGGAGAGGCGGUGGCCAACUCAGCACAGGCUGCGGACUCAGCGUGGUGACAGAUCCCUCAAGCUAGAAGACUUCUGUUAGGAGAAGCGUUAUCCUGUCAGUUGAUUACCCUGAGUUAUUAUUAUUGCUGUUUGACAGAUGAAAAACUGACAUGGAGAAAAGUUAGACAAUUCCUCCAAAUCACAAAGAUAGUAAGUUGAAAACUUGUGAAAAGAACUCUGCUAUGUCAUAUUUCAAAGUCUAUGACCUCCCCUAUAUGGUACCUUCACUGAUGCUAUUGAAUUUAAAGCAAAUAAAGGAAAUGAAGCACAGCCCAAGUGUUGAUUGGUGGGAAGAAUAAAACAGUCAGAGUAAAUCUCACAUUGAAUGAACCUCCAGUGUUGUGUUGUUAGUUAGAAUUAAAGUCAUUCUCUAGAGUGUAACUUAAGACAGUAUGUCAUUUAAGGGUCAAGAAAUAGUCUGUUUACUCAGCAUUUAUCAGUCCUUUCUUUCCAAACUUUAAGCUAGCUAUAGAAAAAUUCCAGAGAGCCUGGGGAAAGAAACAAAAGGAAAAUUAGGGAAAAGACUUACAAGGUAUGAAGUAUUAGAGAACAUUUUAAAAGGAUAAUCUAUACGCUAUGUCAUUGAUGGCUGCAGCCAUUCUCUAUGCCCAUAAACUAAAUGGGCCUAACUCUUAACAGUGGCUAUUAGGUUAGUUAGAAGAGGCAUGUUUCUGAAAAUUCCAUAGUGAACUUCAUAGCCAGAGGAAAAUAUCUUAUACUUCUUUCUAUUCAAUCAUCCUUGACUCCGAAAGUGCCUCUUAUUUUCUUUUGGUGGAACAGUGGAAAAAAAAUAUCACACUGGAAGGCCAAUUGACUGAAAUCAAGUCCCUUUUCCUAACUGUGUGAACUGGGUCCUUCACAUCACUAUCCUUCAACAACAAGAAAAACAAAAAACAUCCUAUAAAUGUAUAAAGAAGAAAAUGAAAGUUCUUUCUUUGCUACCCCUAGUUCUCUUCCCCUUCCUAGAGGCUAAACUAUUUUGUGUGCAUGUGUGUGUGUGUGUAGAAUGUACACAUAUAUGUAGGGGAUUGGUUCUAGGACUCUGUCCCCUGUGAAUACCAAAAUUCAGGGACGCCUAAGUUCCUUAUAUAAAAUGAUGCUUAUAACCUACGCACAUCCUCCUGUAUACUUUAAAUAAUCUUGAUUACUUAUAAUAUCUAAAACAGUGUAAAUGCUAUGUAAAUAGUUGUUAUACUGUAUUGUUUAGGAAAUAAUGACAAGAAAAAAGUCUGCACAUGGUCAGAACAGAUUCAACCAUUCUUUUUUUAUAUAUUUUUUUCUGAAUAAUUACAAUCCAUGGUUUGUUGAAUCCACAGAUGCAGAACUGGUGGAUAUGGAGGGCUGACUGUAUACAUGUAUCUUCCCCAUAUAAAUAGAACAAUAUUUUAUAUACUGUUCUUCAAAUGGCAUUUUCCCUUUGAAGCUCUUUUCAAAUAUGUAAAAAUCUAUUUUUAAAAACUGCUGCACAGUAGCUCAUAGAAUGAAUCUACCAUAUUUCCUUUACUCUUUCCCCUCUUGGUGGUCCUUUAGGUGGUGUUUGGUUUUUUUCUAUUAUAAAUAGUGUGCAAUGACCAUGCUUGUAAGUGCUUCUAUACUCAUAUAUGUUUCUCUGAGCACAGAUGCCUAGAUCUAGAAGCCAAACAGAUGGGUUGAAGGUGAUACCUAAUUUUAACAUUUGAUGACUCCUGCCAAAUUACCCUCUGAAAAGAAUUUAACAAUUUAUAUUCCUUCCACAUCAUUGCCUCUUUCCCCACAUCAUAAUGUAAGUCUUCUUAUUUUUUACUCACCAAAGGGAGAGAAAUAUUUACUGUUUAAAACUGAGCACCUUUUAAACUGCUUUUCUUUCUUUAUUGGCUUAACUCUUCAAGAUGUGUCUUUUUUCUGAUUGGACUAUUGUUUUUAUCUUUACUGGCUUUUAGAAGCUCUUUAUAUAAUCUGGAUAAUAAGCUUUCGUCAUCAAUAUAUGUUGCAGAUAUUUCCUCUCAGUGUGUCAUCAGAUUUUGUAUUUAUGUCUAUUUAUUAUGUCUGUGACCAUACAAAUUAUUAAAUUUCUUAUAAGGUUAGGCUAAGCUUCUUUCUUUAUGAGUUAAUGGGGGUUGUCUGUCUUAGAAAGGAUCUCUCAUUCCAAACCUUAAAACUAUUCUCCUAAUAAUUUUAGAUUUGUUCAACUGAGAGAGUGCUUAACUCAGGAGAUCAAUAAAGGUUCAUAGAGGAAGAAGUAUUUGAAAUUGUCCUGGAAGAACAAUAUUUUUCAACAGGCAGAGAUGGAGAAAGGACAAUCUACAUGAACAGAACAGCAUGAGCAAAAAGAACUGGUAGAAAUAUAUUGAGCUUAUUCUUGAAAAUAGCUAGCAGUUUACUCCUCCUUUCUUUUGUAUACUAACAGCAGCACACUGAACAAACUGUUCUGUCAUCUUGUUUUUAUCACUUACCAUAUCUUUGAAAUAUUUCCAUAACCAUCAUAAGGAGUAUCCCUAUUGCUUUUUGAGCAAUGCAUAGAAUUCCAUUUUGUGUGAAUAUCAUAAUUUAUCACUCUUCUAUUUUUAUCACUCCUCUGUUGAUGAUGACUUCCAGUCUUUUGAUAAUAUAAACAGUGCUGUAGUAAAUAAAGUUCUGUAUAUGUCUUUUCCCACAGGUUAGAGACUAUCCAUAGGAUAAAUUUCUAGCAAAUUGCUGAGUCCAGGAUAUGCAUGUUUGCAAUUUUGGAAGAUCUUAAAAACUUGCCUCCUAUAGGUGUUGUACCAGUAUAUACUUCUGCCAGUAAUAGAUGGGUGGGCUGCUGAUGCCUCAAAAUUUCCACAGGCUAUACAGGAAGCAUGG
rnacentral:lncRNA from 1 species